rnacentral:rRNA from 1 species
CAGGUUUGCGCCCAUCGGGCGAAUCCUCGACCCACGCCACGCCGCGUGGGGGAUGAAGGUCUUCGGGUUGAACUUCUCGUCGAGCGGGGACGAUAGGCCGGUGUUAACACCACCGGCGAUCGACGGUACUCGUUUGUAAGCUCCCGCUGACUACAUGCCAGCAGCCGCGAGUAAUAAAAAAA